CUGAUCUCCGUAGUGGACUCAUUCUUUGACGGCGUGAUCUUAAAGACUAAAGGAAUACGGAGAGAAGGCCUCAUAUUUGAGCUGUUUUCCUCCAACAAUCUACUUUAUGACAAAGUGCAAAUUAAAAGUCAAUGUUACAUUUCACCAAUGUUUAUGUAAUUGCGCUCACACAACCAUAUAUUUCUUGAACCAGAACUGUCCCCUUUAACAGAAACGGACAUAAAAAGCCAAAGCCCAGAAAACAUUUUUAUUUUGAAAAUAUGCAAUGUGGGCUAACGUCACCACCAAGGAACCUGAGCCGUGAUGUAGCUGAAACGCAGUACUGAGAAUCAUCUCCAGUCUUCAGAGGACAGUAGUAAGGGGCAGGAGAUCUAACAAAGGGAUUGGCCAAGUGUCGACACAGCAAACAAACAUCACGCAAUCAUAUAGAAAAUAAACAUUUUACAAAAUAAAUAUAUCAAGCCUUUAUAAUCUUUCUUAAAAAACAAGAAUUGUUUGUGCAACACACGCACUAAUAUCCACAAAAUGACUGCUGGUCAGUCCCCUCAGAGGCCCUGCCCAGUUUGUCCCGUCCUCAGGUUGACCACCCGUAGCUAGAGUCAGAACCCAGAGUCAGAACCCAGAGUCAGAACCCAGAGUCAGAACCCAGAGUCAGAACCCAGAGUCAGAACCCAGAACCCAGUCAGAACCCAGAGUCAGAACCCGGGUUAUUAGACGAGCAACACGCCAUGGAGAUGAAGACAGGGGGGUGAAGAGCUGGGUUUAACUGUGGGAACCCUGCAGCUAGCCAUCUAUCCCAUUCAAAUUAAAUAGAAACAUUUCCUUAGCACCUGAAACACUUUUUCAUAACAUAGCUCUUAACAUUGAAGCAAAUAACAAUUCAUUGGUUUCAAACAGUGUUUUCUUUUCACGGGGUACCCCUCCGUGUUGCCCCACUGUCCGACCAGGAAAACAGUCCGGGAAAAUCCAUAAAAAAAUAAAAAAGGGAACAAGAGCCUUCCUCUGAGGGUGACCAAAGCCACCAGGCCGCUGCCCUUCACACAUUGAGGGGCCGAAGAUAACGCACAGAGGACCAAGGAACACCCCGGGACCCCUGCCCCCCCGGGUCCCCUGCCCCCCGGACCACGGGACCCCCCC
ensembl:lncRNA